UUGGAGGGCAAGUCUGGUGCCAGCAGCCGCGGUAAUUCCAGCUCCAAUAGCGUAUAUUAAAGUUGUUGCAGUUAAAAAGCUCGUAGUUGAACUUCGGGGUCAGUAGGUUGGUCAUGCCACUGGUAUGUACUGGUCUCACUGAUUCCUCCUUCCUGAUGAGCCGUAAUGCCAUUAAUUUGGUGUUGCGAGGAAUCUGGACUGUUACUUUGAAAAAAUUAGAGUGUUUAAAGCAAGCUAACGCUUGAAUACAUUAGCAUGGAAUAAUGAAAUAGGACGUUCGAUCCUAUUUUGUUGGUUUCUAGGAUUGACGUAAUGAUUAAUAGGGAUAGUUGGGGGCAUUAGUAUUCAAUUGUCAGAGGUGAAAUUCUUGGAUUUAUUGAAGACUAACUACUGCGAAAGCAUUUGCCAAGGAUGUUUUCAUUAAUCAAGAACGAAAGUUAGGGGAUCGAAGACGAUCAGAUACCGUCGUAGUCUUAACCAUAAACUAUGCCGACUAGGGAUCGGAUGAUGUUAAUUUUUUAAUGACACAUUCGGCGCCUUACGGGAAACCAAAGUGUUUGGGUUC
rnacentral:rRNA from 1 species